CAAGGCCUAGGCUUGCCUCUCGUGCCACCGUAUCUGUCACACAAGGGGAGCUUCCAGCAGGGCGCGAACUUCGCCGUUGGUGGCGCCACCGCUCUCAACUCCAGCUUCUUCCACAUCGGUGACCCUCCCGGCGCCAGCCCGUUCCCCCUCAACACCAGCCUCGAAGUGCAGCUUGGCUGGUUUGAGGAGCUCAAGCCUUCCUUGUGCCAAACGGACCAAGAGUGCAAGGAUUUCUUCGGCAGAUCGCUCUUCUUCGUGGGUGAAUUUGGGAUCAACGACUACCACUACUCCUUCGGGAAGAAGAGUAUGCAAGAAAUCAGAGCAUUCGUGCCAGAUCUCAUCCAGACCAUCUCCAUGGGUGCCGAGAGAGUGAUCGAGCACGGGGCGAAGACUCUAGUUGUCCCUGGGAUGAUCCCGUCCGGAUGCGCGCCGCCGAUCCUCGUCGCCUUCGAGGACGCCGACGCUUCGGAAUAUGAUGCCACCACCGGUUGUCUCAAGGAGCCUAACGAGAUCGUGAAGCUCCACAACUCUCUGCUGCGAGACGCCGUCCAGAAGCUGCGGGCGGAGCACCCUGAUGUGACCAUCAUCCACACUGACCUGUUCAACCACGUUAUGGAGAUGGUCAAGGCGCCUGAAAAAUUCGGGAUUAACAAAGAUGACGUUCUUAGAGUUUGUUGUGGAGGACGUGGGAGGUACCACUACAACCUCUCGGUUGCUUGUGGCGACGAAGCCGCGACGACGUGCGAGGAUCCGUCCACUCAUCUAUUCUGGGACGGUGUCCACCUGACGGAGGCAGCUUACCACUACAUCGCUGAAGAUUGGCUCAACACCAUAGUAAGCAGCCUGCCUACAACAGCUAGCUCUUAA
rnacentral:rRNA from 1 species